GAAAAACCUAUAAUUUUCCCGCCAAAAGAAACGUUUUAUGCUAGCGCGUUGUGUUUCGUAACGUAGGGAACAGAAUAGGACGACGCGGCUUGGGCCGCGCUAGUUACAAAGCCUUUCUAACGCGUCUUCUCCAGCCGCGUCGUGAAUCAUAAACUCUCUAAUAUAGGCAAGUGGCCGCAUGCAGCCUAGGUAGUAUAUUUAUGAGAUUGCACAAUAAAUUCACGUCAGUUGAAAAUCUAUUCUGCACUUCAGGGCUUCAAACAUUACUGCUCUCUGGCUAGUACUUUAGUUGUUCUUGAAACGUAGUCAUAGAAACAUAGUCAUAGGUGUGUUUUAUAUCCGGGACUUGCUAUAACGUAGUCUAAAAUUAACUAAUAACAUCCGUUAACAUUUUAUUGUUUCCUGCACUUCAAAUUUCCAUGAAAUGCACUGUAGGGGGUCACAUCGGUAGUUUCUGCGAAUUUUUGUAAAACAUGCGGUCAGUAUAAUCUACAGAUUGCGGACUGCAGACCGACUGCAUGGAGAUAAAAUGCUGAAAUUGUGAUCAGGUGACCGACCGCUAUCCUGAUUUAACUGGUACUGUAAACGUUCAUACCAUAUUAACCGUUGAGGGGGACUUAUUGGAAAGGUGGCUCAAAAGGAGGGGGUUGAUAAAGGGAGGGGGGCUUAAAAAGAGAACGACGACUUAUAUAAUUAUGGGACAUAUAAUUAUGGGUUCCUUAUAAUAACAGGAACGUCAUUGCAAUUGCAAGUUUAAAAAUAUAUAUAUUCACAUAACAAUAAUUAAAUGUUUAACGACUACUAAAUGUUAAGAUAGCGAUCACCUGACCGGAUUUGGGUCAUCUGUCUCAGUAUGAAAAUUAUAGUUAAAUGAGCUACGAUUAAUACGAAUAGCAUUUGAAUGAUUGAAUUUAAUUGAAACCUUAUCAUACAAUGGAACAAAUCGUAUAGUACAAAAAUGCACGGCUGAGCGUGCAAUAGUACGCGUACUACUGCACGCUGAGCAAAAUGGUAGUUUUUACUCAAUAUCACAUAAUCAUAAUCCGCCAAUUAAAAGACCAGAAUUUAAUGAGGUGUUAUAUGAUGCAUUGUUUCAUACAUGGAGCAGGGGCUGAGAGGAUAAUAAAAGUUCAGACAAUUUCCAAUCCAAUACUCGGGCAAUUUGUCAGACAGUUUUAAAUCUUCAACGUUGUGAUAUGAAUUUUAAAUGCACAGACAAGUAUUAAAAUAAUACAGACAUGACUGUUGUUCUCUCAAAGGACUUGAAGGUAUAAAAUUGAAUAUUUAACAUAUCGGGCAACUUCCGAAUUUGUCUGUCGGUCAUGGGCGGAUUUACUGGGGGG